rnacentral:miRNA from 1 species
CUACCUUUGAUAGUCCACUGCC